rnacentral:rRNA from 1 species
GACGAACGCUGGCGGCGUGCUUAACACAUGCAAGUCGAACGGAAAGGCCCUGCUUUUGUGGGGUGCUCGAGUGGCGAACGGGUGAGUAACACGUGAGUAACCUGCCCUUGACUUUGGGAUAACUUCAGGAAACUGGGGCUAAUACCGGAUAGGAGCUCCUGCUGCAUGGUGGGGGUUGGAAAGUUUCGGCGGUUGGGGAUGGACUCGCGGCUUAUCAGCUUGUUGGUGGGGUAGUGGCUUACCAAGGCUUUGACGGGUAGCCGGCCUGAGAGGGUGACCGGCCACAUUUGGACUGGGGUACGGCCCAGACUCCUACGGGGGGCAGCGGUGGGGAAUUAUGCCCAAUGGGCGGGAGCCUGAUGCAGCAACGCCGCGUGCGGGAUGACGGCCUUCGGGUUGUAAACCGCUUUCGCCUGUGACGAAGCGUGGGUGACGGUAAAGGGUAAAGAAGCCCCGGCUUACUACGUGC